UGGGGAAUAUUGCACAAUGGGCGCAAGCCUGAUGCAGCCAUGCCGCGUGUAUGAAGAAGGCCUUCGGGUUGUAAAGUACUUUCAGUCGGGAGGAAGGUGGUAAGGUUAAUAACCUUAUCAAUUGACGUUACCGACAGAAGAAGCACCGGCUAACUCCGUGCCAGCAGCCGCGGUAAUACGGAGGGUGCAAGCGUUAAUCGGAAUUACUGGGCGUAAAGCGCACGCAGGCGGUUGAUUGAGUCAGAUGUGAAAUCCCCGGGCUUAACCCGGGAAUUGCAUCUGAUACUGGUCAGAAAGAGUCUUGUAGAGGGGGGUAGAAUUCCAUGUGUAGCGGUGAAAUGCGUAGAGAUGUGGAGGAAUACCGGUGGCGAAGGCGGCCCCCUGGACAAAGACUGACGCUCAGGUGCGAAAGCGUGGGGAGCAAACAGG
rnacentral:rRNA from 1 species